rnacentral:snoRNA from 1 species
CCGCAGUUAAUUAAGCCGGCCGUGGCCCCUCCCCCGUGGGGUCCCGGCGUGCACUGGCUGCGCACAGAGACCCCU